rnacentral:rRNA from 1 species
UACGUAGGGUGCGAGCGUUGUCCGGAAUUACUGGGCGUAAAGAGCUCGUAGGUGGUUUGUCGCGUUUGUCCGUGAAAACUCACAACUCAAUUGUGGGCGUGCGGGCGAUACGGGCAGACUGGAGUACUGCAGGGGAGACUGGAAUUCCUGGUGUAGCGGUGGAAUGCGCAGAUAUCAGGAGGAACACCGAUGGCGAAGGCAGGAUCUCUGGGCCGUAACUGACGCUGAGGAGCGAAAGCAUGGGGAGCGAACAGG